GAUGAAGAACGUAGCGAAAUGCGAUAAGUAAUGUGAAUUGCAGAAUUCAGUGAAUCAUCGAAUCUUUGAACGCACAUUGCGCCCGCCAGUAUUCUGGCGGGCAUGCCUGUCCGAGCGUCAUUUCAACCCUCGAACCCCUCCGGGGGGUCGGCGUUGGGGACCUCGGGAGCCCCUAAGACGGGAUCCCGGCCCCGAAAUACAGUGGCGGUCUCGCCGCAGCCUCUCCUGCGCAGUAGUUUGCACAACUCGCACCGGGAGCGCGGCGCGUCCACGUCCGUAAAACACCCAACUUCUGAAAUGUUGACCUCGGAUCAGGUAGGAAUACCCGCUGAACUUAAGCAUAUCAAUAACGGAGGA
rnacentral:misc_RNA from 1 species